AUACUUACCUGGUUCCCGGGCCUCAAUAAUCACCGAAGACAAGACCCCAGGGUGAGGCGAGGGCAUUGUACUGCGCUCAUCUUGACCCCUGCCACCUCUCCCAAGUGGGGCAGAUGGGGAAUGCAAAUUGCUUUAACCUGGUUCAACGCAACAGAGGGCCCCACA
rnacentral:snRNA from 1 species